rnacentral:lncRNA from 1 species
UAAAGUCCGUGAACUCAAUGGCCAACCUAUGAUAUGCAGCCCAUAGUUUUUUUAAAGGACGUUUUAUAAUAACAAUUUUAUUUAUUUAUUAUUUUUUUUUUACAUUACAUUACAAAAGUUGCAUCAUUUUUUGUACAUACCCUGCUCAUAUGCUAUGCUAGAUCUUUCAUUUUUUUAAGUACUAGUUUUGUGUAAAUUAGAGAAAGAACAAUGAAGUCAACAAAAUCUUUAAAAAACCAGAUGUCAAGUUUUAUCACAUAUCCUUAGCGUAAUUCUAAUGUCAAGUUUGCAUCGAUCUACACUUGAAUCAUACAAAUAACAGAUCACUCGAUAACUCGAACCAUUGAAGAACUGGAAAUCAACAAAAUCUUUAAAAAACCAGAUGUCCGAAGUAAAGCAAGUUGGAAUUUGAAUUGAAGCAAUUGACAAAUCUACACAUGAAUCCAACAAAAUCGAAGAAAAAAAGAAAAAAAGACAACAGAUUUCUACACAGAUCCUUAACAUGAUUCAAAAGUCAUAUUCGCAUCAAUAUCAGAUCGACAUGAAUCCUACAAAAUGAGAUCACCCCAACAAGUUGAAGACCCGAAAAACAACAAAAUCUUGAAAAAAAAUAUUGAAAGCACGAAGAGAAGCAGUUAGAUAUGAAUUGAAUUAGUUAAGAAAUCUACACUCGAAUCUUACAAAAUCUGAGAAAAGUUGGAUUCUACAGAUUUCUCUACAGAUCCUUAGCAAUAUCCAAAUGUCAAAUUUAUGCAUUAAUUACAGAUGAAUUCCACAAUAGCAGAUCAAUCGAACGAGUUUGAAGAACCGAAAAGCAACACAACCAAAUACUAAUUAAUACGAAUAUUUGAAGAGAAGCAAUCGGAAUUACAGUCGACGCAGUUGGAUUUCGAAGAUAACAAAACCUCAAUAUCGAAACCAAAUCUUAAGAAUAGAAAAAAGCUUACUUGAUUCGAAGACGAUAAAGACCGAGGCACUGUAUGACAUUAAACCGACUUGUAUUGCCUCGAUACCAUUGAAAUGCGUUUCAAUUCAUCAACAAAAAGCACAUAUAUAUCAUAAUUUCAUAUCGAACUCAUCUACAUCCUCCUGUUAACAAGGGAGAUUAGUUUUUACGAGAGACAAAAUGUUAAGAGGUGAAAGUAAAUUAUCUGAAAGAGUGAGGUUGAAAAUAGAAAUAAAGAUGGUUUCCUAUAAAGUGACAUUUUAGCCAUGGCGUCAGGAUAUGAAAACGAUAGGUAAAGACCGAUGACUUGGUCCAUACACCUGAAAGCCAGAAGAGCAACAGCUGGCCUGGAUGUUAUUUAUCAGAGCAUGGAGCUACUGUUCUAUACCGC